GGAUUGUGGCUCAGUGGUAGAGUCCUUUCCUGGCACGUGCGAAGUCCUGGGCUCGAUCCUCAGUACCA
rnacentral:tRNA from 1 species